rnacentral:lncRNA from 1 species
UCUAGAACUUUCCAGUGGCAUAAGCCACUAAAUUCCUUUGUUUCCUUAGGCCAAUUUGAGUUGGGUUCUGUUACCCUGAACUGAAAGUCUCUAAACACCAAAAAACUGUGGUGGUGAUGCCAAUAAGCUAACUGCUCACACCAGCUCUUUAUGGCUUCCCAGAGGAGCAAGCAACCUAAUGCUGUAGACUGGCUCUGAAGAAGAAAAACCAAAACCAGAUUCCAUAUUCUCCCAAUCCAGGAUCUUGUCCUAUAGUAGUAUGUUGCCACCACCUGAACAUCAGUCUAGCAGACCUUUUACCUUAUUAUGCAGAAAGCACACUUGGCAUGAAAAGAAAGGGUAUCCUCGGCUAGAUUUGCUUCUGUCAUGGCUGAAAAGGUGAAGUGACCCGCUCUGAAAACAUGAAGCCCUUGGACUCUCAGGUCACUGCAUAGGGUGUUCUAAUUAGAAAAACAAGUGUAGCAUUUUACCCACCAACACAGUGGUGACAUUUGGUGAAGUUCUAAAAAUCUUUAAUUAUUACUUACACUUUACAUAUUUACCAAAAUGUUAUGUAUCUCCUUGAUAUUUAAUAAAAUCACUUUUAAAAUCCUAUAGUUAAGAUUCCUGUGAACACAAGGGAAA